GGCUCGAUGGUCUAGUGGUAUGAUUCUCCCUUAGGGUGGGAGAGGUCCCGGGUUCAAUCCCCGGUCGAGCCC
rfam:Catenaria anguillulae PL171 BCR44scaffold_259, whole genome shotgun sequence.